AAAGAGCGAGCUACCUGCAGUCGAGGGGUACAUUGUGCUUGCACAGAUGACGACCGGCGCACGGGUGCGUAACGCGUAUAGAACCUACCUUUUACAGAGGGAUAGCCUUUAGAAAUGAAGAUUAAUACCUCAUAGUAUUGCGAUUUGGCAUCAGGUUGUAAUUAAAGAUUUAUCGGUAAAAGAUGGCUAUGCGUCCUAUUAGUUAGUUGGUGAGGUAACGGCUUACCAAGACAUCGAUAGGUAGGGGUCCUGAGAGGGAGAUCCCCCACACUGGUACUGAGACACGGACCAAACUACUACGGGAGGCAGCAGUGAGGAAUAUUGGACAAUGGAGGAGACUCUGAUCCAGCCAUGCCGCGUGCAGGAAGACUGCCCUAUGGGUUGUAAACUGCUUUUAUACAGGAAGAAACACUAGUACGUGUACUAGCUUGACGGUACUGUAAGAAUAAGGACCGGCUAACUCCGUGCCAGCAGCCGCGGUAAUACGGAGGGUCCGAGCGUUAUCCGGAAUCAUUGGGUUUAAAGGGUCCGCAGGCGGUCGAUUAAGUCAGAGGUGAAAUCCCAUAGCUUAACUAUGGAACUGCCUUUGAUACUGGUUGACUUGAGUCAUAUGGAAGUAGAUAGAAUGUGUAGUGUAGCGGUGAAAUGCAUAGAUAUUACACAGAAUACCGAUUGCGAAGGCAGUCUACUACGUAUGUACUGACGCUCAUGGACGAAAGCGUGGGGAGCGAACAGGAUUAGAUACCCUGGUAGUCCACGCCGUAAACGAUGGACACUAGUUGUUGGGAUUUAUCUCAGUGACUAAGCGAAAGUGAUAAGUGUCCCACCUGGGGAGUACGAUCGC
rnacentral:rRNA from 1 species